rnacentral:rRNA from 1 species
UACAGAGGUCUCAAGCGUUGUUCGGAUUCAUUGGGCGUAAAGGGUGCGUAGGCGGCGCGGUAAGUCGGGUGUGAAAUCUCGGGGCUUAACUCCGAAACUGCAUUCGAUACUACCGUGCUUGAGUCCGGGAGAGGUGAGUGGAACUGCGAGUGUAGAGGUGAAAUUCGUAGAUAUCUUGAGGAACACCGGUGGCGAAGGCGGGUCUCUGGGCCGAUACUGACGCUGAGGAGCGAAAGCGUGGGGAGCGAACAGG